rnacentral:rRNA from 1 species
UACGGAGGGUGCAAGCGUUAAUCGGAAUUACUGGGCGUAAAGAGUACGUAGGUGGUUUAUUAAGUCAGAUGUGAAAGCCCCGGGCUUAACCUGGGAACUGCAUUUGAUACUGGCAAACUAGAGUAUGGUAGAGGCGGGUAGAAUUCCUAGUGUAGCGGUGAAAUGCGUAGAUAUUAGGAGGAAUACCAGUGGCGAAGGCGGCCCGCUGGACCAAUACUGACACUGAGGUACGAAAGCGUGGGUAGCGAACAGGAUUAGAAACCCCAGUAGUCC